rnacentral:rRNA from 1 species
CAGGCGUAACACAUGCAAAUCGAACGAAGGCUUAGUCUUUAGUGGCGCACGGGAGCAUCACGCGUGGGAAUGUGCCACUGGCUUCGGACUAACCUCAGUAAACGACGGAUAAUACCGGAUGAUGUCGAUAAGACCAAAGAUUAUCGCCCGAGCAUGAGCCCGCGUAGGAUUAGGUAUUUGGUGAGGUAAGAGCUCACCAAGCCUAUGAUCCCUAGUUGGUAUGAGAGGAUGAUCAGCCACAUAGGGAAUGAGACACGGCCCAGAAUCCUACGGGAGGCAGCAGUGGGGAAUAUUGGACAAUGGGUGCUAGCCUGAUCCAGCCAUUCAGCUUGAGUGAUGAAGGCGUAAGGAUGGUAAGACUCUUAUAGCCCGAGAUAAUAAUGACACUAUAGGGAGAGAUAAGCUUCGUUUAACUUGCGAGCCAGCAGCCGCGGAUA